CCCCUGUCAAGGUCGCACCUGGAGAAUUUCCAGGACUCUACCAGCCUCGACUAGGGGACGGAGAGUCAAGCAGAGGCAUAUCCAUUCCAUUCCUAGCUUGAGCAGUGGCUAGAGAGUGGAGGGCAAUCUGCUACAAGU